UCCUUCCCCCAUGCCCCCGUUGUAUAUGGCCAUGAGGUUUCUGGUACCUCUACAACAGACACGCAACAAGCAGGUGGUUUGGUUUUGCGGCACAGGGAGGCUCUUACAGGCUGUUUGCUCUUAACGUGCUCUGAUCUUGCAGCUGCGCCCAAGACAUGAAACUGCCUGUUAGUGCCUGGACCUCCCAACACAGCUGAGCAUGUGUUCUCCUGCCUUCUCAUGCAGGGCGAACCAGGCUAUGUCCUGGGAGGAGUGGAGGUGAUUCCCAGGCGGAACGGGCAACCUGGCCCUCCUGGACAGAAAGGGCAGCCAGGGGUUCCUGGCGUAACAGGACCACCAGGUUUACCAGGGCCACAGGGGCCACCGGGGAUGUCCAUCAAGGGCGAACCAGGGGAUUCAGGUAUCAGGGGUCCUCGCGGGAGGAAUGGCCUCAAGGGUGACAAAGGAGGCGUGGGAGAGCCGGUGAGUUAUCUGCUGAUGGCCAGUCACUAAGGGAGAGCCACAGGCCGCUGCCAGGGAUGGGAAAGUGCCGUUGACCUUGGCACGCCAGCUUCCGAGCUGUCU
rnacentral:lncRNA from 1 species